ensembl:ncRNA Y71F9B.21 ncRNA
GCUGCUGCUGCUGGUGGUGUCGAUGCUGAUCGGCUUCUCAGAUAGCAUUCCCAUUGCAGAGAGUCCGAACGACAGACGGGGUCAGAGAGCGUACGAAUCGCUGAGUGUGUCAGAGGGUCCGAAAGCAAUAAAAAUGUGUGUGUAUGUAUGGCUAUAAAUCGUGGCGAAUGGCGCGCGUUAGGACAGAGGGAGAGAU